rnacentral:rRNA from 1 species
UACGUAGGCAGCAAGCGUUGUUCGGAGUUACUGGGCGUAAAGGGUGCGUAGGCGGCUUCUUAAGUCUGGUGUGAAAUCUCCCGGCUCAACUGGGAGGGUGCGCCGGAUACUGAGGGGCUAGAGUGUGGGAGAGGAAAGUGGAAUUCCUGGUGUAGCGGUGAAAUGCGUAGAUAUCAGGAGGAACACCGGUGGUGUAAACGGCUUUCUGGACGGUAACUGACGCUGAGGCGCGAAAGCGUGGGGAGCAAACAGG